rfam:Lupinus angustifolius cultivar Tanjil chromosome LG16, whole genome shotgun sequence.
UUUGAGGGGAAUGUUGUUUGGCUCGAGGAACCUUAAUCAUGUCCGUUAGAGAGUUAGUCACCUAACUACAUUUCAUAUAUCUGACUAAAGAUAAAAGAUUAUCAACCGAUGAUUUUAUACUAUCUUCGGACCAGGCUUCAUUCCCCUUAAU